rnacentral:rRNA from 1 species
AUUGAACGCUGGCGGCAGGCUUAACACAUGCAAGUCGAGCGGGGUGAUGGUGCUUGCACUAUCACUUAGCGGCGGACGGGUGAGUAAUGCUUAGGAAUCUGCCUAUUAGUGGGGGACAACAUCUCGAAAGGGAUGCUAAUACCGCAUACGUACUACGGGAGAAAGCAGGGGAUCACUUGUGACCUUGCGCUAAUAGAUGAGCCUAAGUCGGAUUAGCUAGUUGGUGGGGUAAAGGCCUACCAAGGCGAAGAUCUGUAGCGGGUCUGAGAGGAUGCUCCGCCACACUGGGACUGUGACACGGCCCAGACUCCUACAGGAGGCAGCAGUGGGGAAGAUUGGACAAUGGGUGGAACCCUGAUCCAGCCAUGCCGCGUGUGUGAAGAAGGCCUUAUGUUUGUAAAGCACUUUAAGCGAGGAGGAGGCUCUUUUGGUUAAUACCCAAGAUGAGUGGACGUGACUCGCAGAAUAAGCACCGGCUAACUCUGUGCCAGCCGCCGCAGUAA